AUUUUUUAUUCCUUUCAGCUGAGGAUUGUUGAAGCCUAAUGUAGUGAUUGAAGCAUUUCAAGAUAGGGAUUCUAGGAUGAAUGUUGUUGUUGCUCAAAAUCUCAGCAAGUUCACUAAUCCUGAAUACGGUUUUCAAGAACUCUCGGCUGACUUAGUUGAGGCAGCAGCUGCUCACUGCCAGUUAAUUGUUGUUUCCAAGUAGCUACUCGUGGAGGUGGUUUAUCAACUAUCAUUGUUGUUAGUAUGGCUGUAACUGGUUAGUGGUUCAAAGUUCAACAACUUGAAAAAUGAAGCAGGUGCGCCUAAAAUGAAGCAUGUUCCUAGGUUUACAGCGUCAGUUGCAGGAACCUGUCCACCGUACGAUCUCGAGGUUCCACCGUAAAUUAAAUUGGUUCAAUAUUUCUUUGUUGGUGUAAAGGUAUUGUUCCAUCUACUUGGCGAUCCUAAAACUCACGACGAUACCUCUACCCGUAUGAACAUUAUUGGAUGUCACACGAUUCUGUUAGAAAUAUGAUGCUCAUAGUGCCGGGGUCGUUCUCCUGUUGGCGGCAAAGUGAACGAUACUGAACAUUCAAGAGAAGUGUCUUCAUUAAACCAAACCUGCCCGCUGUCAACAUUCAUGAAAGUUUGGUUUGAACCUAUAACUUCUAAGGUGCAUUGUUAGUCUUAAGCUAAUCGGUACGUUGGAUUGGUGUCGCUUAUAGUUGAGCGUUUUCAGAAUGUUGUUCGUAAUUCGUAAGGUCACUGGCAAGGCAUUGAUGUUAGCUGAAAUCAGAAACUAUGUACAGUCUCUUCAGCAAAAAAUGAAGUUAUGCACUUAUAGUUUAAUUUCUACAACAUUUCCAACAGCUGGAUGAUGAAUCAUAUAUGUUUGAACGCCGAUCUCAAUUGUUGCAUCGUCUUAGGCAUGUAAAUUACUCGAGUAUAUGAAGUUGCUUCCUAAUUUCCCCUCCUUAAAGUUGUCUAUUUCAGUUUGAUAUACAGUUUUUGCUUGGAGGUAGACUUCAUUUUGAAUAAAUACAUGUAUUUGCUUGCUGUCUUGCGGAUGGAGUUAGUAAUUUGGAGCUGCCAAUUUGGUACAGGGUGAUAUCAAGACCUGAUAUGACAAAAACAUUAAGCAUUAAAGAGAACUUUAUGGUAGCAUCAAUGUUGGGAAUGUGUGGAGAAUAUUCACACUAACAGCUCUGCUGACAAUUCAGAUCAAAAUUGCAACCUUCCGCUCAUAGAGUAUUCAUCUCUUUCAAGUUUCAGCUUCUCCCCCAAUCGGUUUGAACCAUUCAACCGUUUCUUUUUCUGAUUUAAAAUAUUUGUUAUAGCUUUGUUGGUCUAUUUAAGUUGUUACUAAUAUGUUACUAUUGCUAUUUUACAAUUUUGGUAUUUGUUUGUUGCUGUUGGAUGCUAUCUACUGCUAUAUUGGUAUUUAUUUGUUGUUGUUGGAUGUUGAUCUGCUGCUGUUUUGCUGUUUAUUUGUUGCUGUUAGAAGCCAUUGAAUGUCGUCUGUUGCUGUUCCGUUGAAUGUCGUAUGCUGUUGUUUGUUGCUGUUGGAUGUUGUCUCAUGCUGUUUUGGUGUUUGCCCGUGUUAUUCUGAUGCUGUCUCAUGCUGUUUUGGUCAUAUUUUUAAUACUUCUUAUGCAUUAUGAUGCUAUUUUGAAUAGAUUUGAAGUAUAUGUUGACAAACUAUGAAUUUUAUAUGCAUUUUUCUCUUCCUGUGUGCAGGUUCAAGCAUCCCACAGUUUCGAUUUGAACAAGGCUUAUGUUUUUUCUUGAUACUUCUCAUCAGUAUUUUCAAUAGCUUAUGUUUUUUCUUGAAGCAAAUGCGUAUCUAUUAGAACAAUAGCUUAUGUUUUUCUCAUGAGUAUUUUCAUAUGCGGGAAUGGUCUUUUGUCUAUCUAUUAGAACUCAUAAUAUCGGUUUUCACGUGUCUACAGUAAUUUAUAUGACAGGCCUUUAUGGAUUGUUCAGUAGCCGUCUAAAUCAAGCCCAGAUAAGAGUCACGAUAUCGUCACCGCCAUUGAAAAUUACAGCCUAAAUGACUUUAUGACAUAUAUGAUAUUUUCUGUAUGGUUGAUACGUUAGGGAUACAUUGAGGCUGAGCCCUCGUGAUCAUGCUUACUAUCUCGAUUACGUCGGAAAUGAAUUGUGAGGACGAUGCCUCCACCCAAAGAUAAGUGUGUUUCCUUACAAUAUAUAUGUUUUCCAUACAACAAAGUUAUGCUUACAAUAUAUGUGGCUUUGUGACAAUAUAUCUGUUUGUGUGAAAUCUCUAUGCUUCACAUCCACUUAUUGCUGCAUUUAAAUACUCUGUACUACAAAAAGGUUGUUGGUCAUAAAAUACUCUUUAUGAUAGAAUAACAUUAUUUUUUUGUUAAAUUGUUUACAACCAUGUCUCUUUUCCCCUCUUCAUGAUUCGAUGCAGAUCUGGAGGAAUGGCCCCUGCUGCUAAAUACGGUGGGUUUAGUUUUGGAGGGCCGGGUAUGUCUCAUAGACAACCUGCUGCUGAUAAUGGGUCGGGGAUCACUAACAAUACUAGGUUUGGGUUUUGGAAUUUUGUAUUGAAUUUUAAAUGUGUUUUGGGGUUGCAGGUAGUGAUGUAUCCAAUUAUCAACCUUAGGAAACACAAGAUGGAUCUUUAUUGGUAUCUCAGAAAACUUGAAGAGGUUGUUAUUAGUGUUCUGUCUUUAACUUUUUCGAUUCAUGCUUCUCGUGUGGAAGGUUUAACGCGUGUUUGGGUUGGAAAUGAGAAAGUGGCAGCUAUAUGUAUAAGGGUGGCUCAAUGGAUAACAUAUCAUGGCUUAGCACUUAACGUAACGACGAAUUUGAGUCCCUUUAAAUGGAUCGUCCCUUGUGGAAUACGUGGCCGUCAAGUUGGGAGUUUCAAAGGGUUGCUAAGAGAAGCUCAGUCAUCAUGUAAUGAUCAUGGAACAUCUAAUUUGCAUGGUUUGGAUGAUGACAGUCUUAUUCAUAUUACUCAUAAGUCCUUAAUUGAAGAGUUCUAAAAAGUGUUUCAGCUUGAGUACCAUAAAACUAUU